rnacentral:lncRNA from 1 species
ACCUCUCGUAGCCUGCGGCGUUCCUAACUGGUUUUAAGCAAAGGCUUGCUUGGAUACACAUCUUUGCUUUGUUUAACGACAACAACAACAACCAGGUACUUCCUUGGUUUUGAGAGCUAAAAACUUAAGAUCCACCCUUGAUCUUCAAGACAGGGAAUUGAAAGGUAGAGAAAUGGAAAUGCACACGGAGUAACCUGGGGAAGGCUGAGUGGUUCGAAUGAUGGAUCUGUAGCCUGAUAUAUACUAAGUGAGCUUUUCAUCGUUGUCAUGAAGAACACUUUCAGAGGAUGAAAAGUUGCUUUGGCUCACCAUUUCCGAUAAAAAGUUCAUGUUUUUAGGACUGUGAUCAGGUGGAGAACCAUGAUGGGAGCACAUGGAGGAAGACCACGCUCACCUCACUGUCAGCUGAGAAACAACAAAUAAGGAGAACCAAUCUGGAGACGGGAUAUGCAACCCUAAGGAGUAGGCUCUAUCUCCUGAGAGCAUCUUGCACGGCAAUCAAGCUUUUAGCACUGACUUUUGGAAGAACGUUUUAGAUCCACACCAUUCCACAAAGCAGAACUGCUGAAUCACACAAACUUAACUUCUGAGGAAGCUCCCCACUCUCCAAGUGUGUAGAGGCCACGCACAGUUGAAGUAGGGAAGGGAGAGAGUGAAUCUCUGCCCUUCCUGUAUGU